rnacentral:tRNA from 1 species
GCCGGGGUGGCGGAACUGGCAGACGCGCAGGUCUCAAAAACCUGUGAUGGCAACAUCAUGUGGGUUCGAUUCCCUCCCCCGGCA